AGCGAACGCUGGCGGCAGGCUUAACACAUGCAAGUCGAACGCUCGCAGCAAUGCGGGAGUGGCAGACGGGUGAGUAACGCGUGGGAACGUGCCCUUUGGUUCGGAAUAACCCAGGGAAACUUGGGCUAAUACACGAUAAGUCCCGUGAGGGGGGAAGAUUUAUAGCCGAAGGCUUGGACCGCGUCCGAUUAGCUAGUUGGUGAGGUUAAGGCUCACCAAGGCGACGAUCUGAAGCGGGUCUGAGAGGAUGAUCCGCCACACUGGAACGGAGACACGGUCCAGACUCCUACGGGAGGCAGCAGGGGGGAAUUUUGGACAAUGGGGGCAACCCUGAUCCAGCCAUGCCGCGUGAGUGAAGAAGGCCUUCGGGUUGUAAAGCUCUUUCGGCAGGAACGAAACGGUGGCCCCUAAUACGGGUUGCUAAUGACGGUACCUGAAGAAGAAGCACCGGCUAACUACGUGCCAGCCGCCGCCGUAACAC
rnacentral:rRNA from 1 species